rnacentral:lncRNA from 1 species
GGUGGGGUGGAGGAUGGGGAGGGUUUGAGGGAGUAGGGGUAGAUGGUGAGUUCAGCUACAUGCUACUGUAGGUUACUCCCCCAUAUGGCUGAGUUCUGUUCAGCUACUUUAGGUUACUCUCCCAUACGGCUAAGUUCUGUUCAGCUGCUUUAGGUUACUCUCCCAUAUGGCUGAGUUGACUGUUCAGCUACUGUAGGUUAUUCUCCCAUAUGGCUGAGUUGACUUUUCAGCUACAUGCUACUGUAGGUUAUUCUCCCAUGCUACUGUAGGUUACUCUCCCAUGCUACUGUAGGUUACUCUCAUGCUACAGUAGGUUACUCUCCCAUGCUACAGUAGGUUACUCUCCCAUGCUACAGUAGGUUACUCUCUCCCAUGCUACUGUAGGUUACUCUCCCAUGCUACUGUAGGUUACUCUCUCAUGCUACUGUAGGUUACUCUCCCAUGCUACUGUAGGUUACUCUCCCAUGCUACAGUAGGUUACUCUCCCAUAUGACUGUAGGUUACUCUCCCAUGCUACUGUAGGUUACUCUCCCAAGCUACUGUAGGUUACUCUCCCAUGCUACUGUAGGUUACUCUCCCAUGCUACUGUAGGUUACUCUCCCAUGCUACUGUAGGUUACUCUCCCAAGCUACUGUAGGUUACUCUCCCAUGCUACUGUAGGUUACUCUCCCAUGCUACUGUAGGAUAAUAUCUGGAUUGUUUCAUAAUAACUCUUGUCUGGUGUGGGAUGUGCAGUUCCGGAGUGCAGAGAAUAACUUGUACUGAUGUGGAUUGGAGCAAACAAACCAUCUACAUAGUGGUGAUGUGUACGUUUUAGAUUAUAUUAUUACUAUUAUUUUAUUAAG